rnacentral:rRNA from 1 species
AACGAACGCUGGCGGCAGGCUUAACACAUGCAAGUCGAACGCAUCCUUCGGGGUGAGUGGCAGACGGGUGAGUAACGCGUGGGAACGUGCCCUUCAGUUCGGGAUAACCCAGGGAAACUUGGGCUAAUACCGGAUACGUGCGAGAGCAGAAAGAUGUAUCGCUGAAGGAUCGGCCCGCGUCUGAUUAGCUAGUUGGUGGGGUAAUGGCCCACUAAGGCGACGAUCAGUAGCUGGUCUGAGAGGAUGAUCAGCCCCAUUGGGACUGAGACACGGCGCAAACUCCUACGGGAGGCAGCAGUGGGGAAUAUGGGACAUGGGGCGCAAGCCUGAUCCAGCCAUGCCGCGUGAGUGAUGAGGGCCUUAGGGUUGUAAAGCUCUUUCGUCCGGGACGAUAAUGACGGUACCGGAAGAAGAAGCCCCGGCUAACUUCGUGCCAGCCGCGGCAGUAAUAC